GUGAGGAAUCUUCCACAAUGGGCGAAAGCCUGAUGGAGCAACGCCGCGUGAAGGAUGAAGGUCUUCGGAUUGUAAACUUCUUUUAUGAGUGAAGAAUAUGACGGUAACUCAUGAAUAAGCACAGGCUAACUACGUGCCAGCAGCCGCGGUCAUACGUAGGGUGCAAGCAUUAUCCGGAGUGACUGGGCGUAAAGAGUUGCGUAGGCGGUUAUGUAAGCGAAUAGUGAAACCUGGUGGCUCAACCACACAGACUAUUAUUCGAACUGCAUAACUCGAGAAUGGUAGAGGUAACUGGAAUUUCUUGUGUAGGAGUGAAAUCCGUAGAGAUAAGAAGGAACACCAAUGGCGUAGGCAGGUUACUGGGCCAUUUCUGACGCUAAGGCACGAAAGCGUGGGGAGCGAACCGGAUUAGAUACCCUGGUAGUCC
rnacentral:rRNA from 1 species